rnacentral:rRNA from 1 species
AGAGUUUGAUCAUGGCUCAGAUUGAACGCUGGCGGCAGGCUUAACACAUGCAAGUCGAACGGUAACAGGAGAAAGCUUGCUUUCUUGCUGACGAGUGGCGGACGGGUGAGUAAUGCUUGGGAAUCUGGCUUAUGGAGGGGGAUAACUACGGGAAACUGUAGCUAAUACCGCGUAAUAUCUUCGGAUUAAAGGGUGGGACUUUCGGGCCACCUGCCAUAAGAUGAGCCCAAGUGGGAUUAGGUAGUUGGUGGGGUAAAGGCCUACCAAGCCGACGAUCUCUAGCUGGUCUGAGAGGAUGACCAGCCACACUGGAACUGAGACACGGUCCAGACUCCUACGGGAGGCAGCAGUGGGGAAUAUUGCACAAUGGGGGGAACCCUGAUGCAGCCAUGCCGCGUGAAUGAAGAAGGCCUUCGGGUUGUAAAGUUCUUUCGGUGAUGAGGAAGGUGUUUGUUUUAAUAGAACAAGCAAUUGACGUUAGUCACAGAAGAAGCACCGGCUAACUCCGUGCCAGCAGCCGCGGUAAUACGGAGGGUGCGAGCGUUAAUCGGAAUGACUGGGCGUAAAGGGCACGCAGGCGGUGACUUAAGUGAGAUGUGAAAGCCCCGAGCUUAACUUGGGAAUUGCAUUUCAUACUGGGUCGCUAGAGUAUUUUAGGGAGGGGUAGAAUUCCACGUGUAGCGGUGAAAUGCGUAGAGAUGUGGAGGAAUACCGAAGGCGAAGGCAGCCCCUUGGGAAUAUACUGACGCUCAUGUGCGAAAGCGUGGGGAGCAAACAGGAUUAGAUACCCUAGUAGUCCACGCUGUAAACGCUGUCGAUUUGGGGAUUGGGCUUAGAGCUUGGUGCCCGUAGCU